rnacentral:tRNA from 3 species
GGAGCGGUAGUUCAGUUGGUUAGAAUACCGGCCUGUCACGCCGGAGGGGCGCGGGUUCGAGUCCCGUCCGCUCCGCCA